GUGAAGUCGGUGACAUCGGGCGGGGUGAGACGGGGGGGGCGCGCGUUGUGCGGAAUUAUUGGGCGCAAGGCGCGGGCAGGCGGCGCCUUAAUUGUGAUGUAGAAUGCCCCGCCGCAACCGGGGAGGGCCAUUGGAAAUUGGGAGGCGUGAGUAGAGGAGAGAAGCGUGGAAUGCCACGUGUAGAGGUGAAAUGCGUGGAGAUGUGGAGGAACACCAGUGGCGAGGGCGACUCUUUGGCCUAGAACUGACGCUGAGGCGCGAAAGCGGGGGGAGCAAACAGGAUUAGAUACCCUAGUAGUC
rnacentral:rRNA from 1 species